ACGAACGCUGGCGGCGUGCUUAACACAUGCAAGUCGAACGGAAAGGCCCUGCUUUUGUGGGGUGCUCGAGUGGCGAACGGGUGAGUAACACGUGAGUAACCUGCCCUUGACUUUGGGAUAACUUCAGGAAACUGGGGCUAAUACCGGAUAGGAGCUCCUGCUGCAUGGUGGGGGUUGGAAAGUUUCGGCGGUUGGGGAUGGACUCGCGGCUUAUCAGCUUGUUGGUGGGGUAGUGGCUUACCAAGGCUUUGACGGGUAGCCGGCCUGAGAGGGUGACCGGCCCCAUUUGGGACGGGGUACGGCCCAGACUCCUACGGGGGGCAGCAGGGGGGAAAUUUGGCAAAUGGGGGGAAGCCUGAUGCAGCAACGCCGGCGGGGGGAUGACGGCCUUCGGGUUGUAAACCGCUUUCGCCUUGGACGAAGCGUGGGUGACGGGAAUGGGUAAAGAAGCCCCGGCUAACUACG
rnacentral:rRNA from 1 species